rnacentral:lncRNA from 1 species
AUGGGGUUUCUAGGGCUAGUUUGAGCCCUAGGAUGAAAGGCUGUCAGCCUUUCGGAUCUUGAGGUCUAGGAAUUUUGGGCCUUGAGGGGCUAACUUAUAUUUAGACUGAAAUUGAGUCCAAGAUUAUGAGAUUGGAUCAAGUCAUGGGUGUACAUGGGCUUGGGUGAGCACAAUCUUGUAUUGAGUUAGCCAUGGGAGUUUUUGGGUUAGGUAACAUUGACCCUGUAUAUAAACAUACAUUGUAUGUGGACU